rnacentral:rRNA from 1 species
GACGGAGGAUGCAAGUGUUAUCCGGAAUCACUGGGCGUAAAGCGUCUGUAGGUGGUUUAAAAAGUCUGCUGUUAAAAAUUGAAGCUUAACUUCAAAGAUGCCGUAGAAACUUUUAAACUAGAGUAUGAUAGGGGUAGAGGGAAUUUCCAGUGGAGCGGUGAAAUGUGUAGAUAUUGGGAAGACCACCAAUGGCGAAGGCACUCUACUGGGCCAUUACUGACACUGAGAGACGAAAGCUAGGGGAGCAAAUGGG